rnacentral:rRNA from 1 species
AAACCAGCACCUCAAGUGGUCAGGAGGAUUAUUGGGCCUAAAGCAUCCGUAACCUGUUCUGUAAGUUUUCGGUUAAAUCCACUAGCUCAACUAGUGGGCUGCCGAAAAUACUGUAGAACUAGGGAGUGGGAGAGGUAGACGGUAUUCGGUAGGAAGGGGUAAAAUCCUUUGAUCUAUUGAGGACCACCUGUGGCGAAGGCGGUCUACCAGAACACGUUCGACGGUGAGGGAUGAAAGCUGGGGGAGCAAACCGGAUUAGAAACCCGGGUAGUCC